UACGUAGGGGGCAAGCGUUGUCCGGAAUCAUUGGGCGUAAAGCGCGUGUAGGCGGUUCGGUAAGUCUGCUGUGAAAGUCCAGGGCUCAACCCUGGGAUGCCGGUGGAUACUGUCGGACUAGAGUACGGAAGAGGCGAGUGGAAUUCCCGGUGUAGCGGUGAAAUGCGUAGAGAUCGGAAAGAACACCAACGGCGAAAGCACUCUGCUGGGCCGACACUGACACUGAGAGACGAAAGCUAGGGGAGCGAAUGGG
rnacentral:rRNA from 1 species